rnacentral:rRNA from 1 species
UACGGAGGGGGCUAGCGUUGUUCGGAAUUACUGGGCGUAAAGCGCACGUAGGCGGCUUCGCAAGUCAGAGGUGAAAGCCCGGGGCUCAACCCCGGAACUGCCUUUGAGACUGCGUGGCUCGAAUCCGGGAGAGGCGGGUGGAAUUCCCGGUGUAGAGGUGAAAUGCGUAGAUAUCCGGAGGAACACCAGUGGCGAAGGCGGCCCCCUGGACUGGCAUUGACGCUGAGGUGCGAAAGCGUGGGGAGCAAACAGG